rnacentral:rRNA from 1 species
GCAAGUCGAACGGACCCUUUAACUUGAAGCCUCGGUGGAUUGUUAAAGGUAGUCAGUGGCAGACGGGUGAGUAAUGCAUAGGUAACAUGCCCCUUAGUUCGGGAUAACAUCGUGAAAAUGGUGCUAAUACCGGAUACUCUCGUUUUUUCGCAUGAUUAAACGAGGAAAGUUUUUUCGCUAAGGGAUUGGCCUAUGUCUGAUUAGUUUGUUGGUGGGGUAAUGGCCUACCAAGACUGCGAUCAGUAGCUGGUCUGAGAGGAUGAUC